UACAGAGGUCUCAAGCGUUGUUCGGAUUCAUUGGGCGUAAAGGGUGUGUAGGUGGCGCGCUAAGUCGGGUGUGAAAUUUCGGAGCUUAACUCCGAAACUGCAUUCGAUACUGGCGUGCUUGAGGACUGGAGAGGAGACUGGAAUUCAUGGUGUAGCAGUGAAAUGCGUAGAGAUCGGGAGGAACAUCAGUUGCGAAGGCGGCCACCUGGACCAGCACUGACACUGAGGCACGAAAGCGUGGGGAGCAAACAGG
rnacentral:rRNA from 1 species